rnacentral:rRNA from 1 species
GAUGAACGCUGGCGGCGUGCCUAAUACAUGCAAGUCGAGCGAACGGACGAGAAGCUUGCUUUUCUGAUGUUAGCGGCGGACGGGUGAGUAACACGUGGAUAACCUACCUAUAAGACUGGGAUAACUUCGGGAAACCGGAGCUAAUACCGGAUAAUAUUUUGAACCGCAUGGUUCAAGAGUGAAAGAUGGUCUUGCUGCACCUAAUGGAUGGAUCCGCGCUGCAUUAGCUAGUUGGUAAGGUAACGGCUUACCAAGGCAACGUUGCUUAGCCGACCUGGGAGGGUGAUCGGCCACACUGGAACUGGGACACGGUCCAGACUCCUACGGGAGGCAGCGUUAGGGAAUCUUCCGCAAUGGGCGAAAGCCUGACGGAGCAAGGCCGCGUGAGUGAUGAAGGUCUUCGGAUCGUAAACCUCUGUUAUUAGGGAAGAACAUAUGUGUAAGUAACUGUGCACAUCGUGACGGUACCUAAUCAGAAAGCCACGGCUAACUACGUG